rnacentral:lncRNA from 1 species
CUUGGGGGGAUUUUGGGGUCUCUCGGCAGCGUGGCUGACACUUAUGGGGCAGCGGCUCUUCUUCGUCCUCUACCCCAAUACUGAGACCCACAGCGACCCCCCGCCCCAUAGCGAAGCUGAGCCCCACAGCAAGCUCCUGCCCCAUAGCGACCCCGUGCCCCAUAGCGACUCCCAGCCCCAUAGCGACCCCGUGCCCCAUAGUGACUCCCAGCCCCAUAGCGACACCCAGCCCCAUAGCGAUUCCCAGCCCCAUAGCGACCCCGUGCCCCAUAGCGACCCCCAGCCCCAUAGUGAAUCUGAGCCCCAUAGUGAAUCUGAGCCCCAUAGCGACCCCCAGCCCCAUAGCGACCCCGUGUCCCAUAGCGAAUCUGAGCCCCAUAGCGACCCCCAGCCCCAUAGUGAAUCUGAGCCCCAUAGUGACCCCCAGCCCCAUAGCGAGACCCACAAGUGACCCCUCAGCCCCAUAAGUGCCCUCCCAGCCCCACAAGUGAUCCCUCAGCCCCAUAAGUGCCCCCCCAGCCCCACAAGUGACCCCUCGGCCCCAUAGUGAGACCCACAAGUGCUCCCCAGCCCCACAAGUGCCCCCCCAGACCCACAAGUGAACCCUCGGCCCCAUAGUGAGACCCACAAGUGCCCCCCCAGCCCCAUAAGUGCCCCCCCAGCCCCACAAGUGACUCCUUGGCCCUAUAGUGAGGCCCACAAGUGCUCCCCCACCCCACAAGUGCCCCCCCAGCCCCCCAUCGCCCCGCAGCUGAGCCCGUUGGGGCCGCCCCACACUCCGCCCCACAAGUGCCUCCGGCCCCACGGCAAUAAAGGUGCUCUCAGUGUAAGCGGAGCCCAUUUCUGUCGGCCCCACACAAAGUAUGGGGGGGUGUGGGGAGAACGAGGGGUACACAAAGGAUUUAUU